rnacentral:rRNA from 1 species
UUUUAAAAAAAAUAAUUAAACACACGCCUUAUCCUGAGGGUGAUAAUGUAGCAUAAUAAUUUGACGUUUAAUUGGCGUAUUGUAUGAAUGGUAUUACGAUUCUGUCAUUGUCUCAAAAUUAUAUUUAAAUAAAUUAAAAUAAUUAUUAAAAUGUAAUUUUAAUAAUAUAAGACGAAAAGACCCCAUAAACCUUUACUGAAUUAAGUUUAACUGGGACGGUUAUCUUUUAUAAAAACAAGGAUUUAAAAAAAAUUUCUAAUAUUAAUAUACUGACCACUUUUAAGUAUAUAAAAGUAUAAAAAGAUAAAAGGUACUUUGGGGGUAACAGCGUAAUAUAUUAUUGAAGAUGUUAUUUGAUAUUAUGCUUACGACCUCGAUGUUGAAUUAAAUUUACCAGAGGU